rnacentral:rRNA from 1 species
UACGGGGGGGGCAAGCGUUGUUCGGAAUUACUGGGCGUAAAGGGCUCGUAGGCGGCCAACUAAGUCAGACGUGAAAUCCCUCGGCUUAACCGGGGAACUGCGUCUGAUACUGGAUGGCUUGAGUGUGGGAGAGGGAUGCGGAAUUCCAGGUGUAGCGGUGAAAUGCGUAGAUAUCUGGAGGAACACCGGUGGCGAAGGCGGCAUCCUGGACCGACAUUGACGCUGAGGCGCGAAAGCCAGGGGAGCAAACGGG